rnacentral:misc_RNA from 1 species
UACGGAGGGUGCAAGCGUUAUCCGGAUUCACUGGGUUUAAAGGGUGCGCAGGCGGCCUGUUAAGUCAGUGGUGAAAGCCCAUGGCUCAACCAUGGAAUUGCCGUUGAAACUGACAGGCUUGAGUACAGUUGAGGCGGGCGGAAUAUAUCAUGUAGCGGUGAAAUGCUUAGAUAUGAUAUAGAACGCCCAUUGCGAAGGCAGCUCGCUAAACUGUAACUGACGCUCAGGCACGAAAGCGUGGGGAGCAAACAGG